AUUGGAGGAAGUUUUAUUUAUAAAAGAACUCUUUACAAAAAGCAUAGGUGGGAUUAUAGGGGAAACAAAAGGUUAGUGCAUUAACCAAGGGCAUGUAGCAAGCAAGCUGUUUCUCCACCUGAGCCAGAAGGGAUGAAGGGAAGGAAUGGCUACUGGACCCUAAGGGAAAGAGGUGACAGGAAUUUGCAGCCCUUAGAGUAAGAGUGGCCUUCUGUUGAUAGAUCUGGCCAGCCUGAAGUUAGCACACAAGAAUGCAGCCUGGAGGAGUAAAUACCUUGAUCGUAAUCUCCUUCUUCCUUUUGAUCUCUUCCUAGGGAUCCCCGAGACAAAGCCCAACCAGAAGCAGAAGUACAAGAACAUUUUCCCACAAAGAAACCUUACAAAGAAGAACUUGGCCUCUCAGCGGUUCACAACAACUGCCCUAGCAUGAAACGUUGUAGCUGAACUAGAGUCCUGAAUUAGCCAUUCCAAACAAGGUCACGGAAAUGCAAAGUUUGGGACUAUAUCCCAUCCAUAGGAUGAAGCACCUCCAUCUCUAUGAUGACAGGAAGCAAAUCAGGAGGGUAUUUCCCAUCAGAAGACCAUGAAAUUUCCCUAUCAUUAAGUAGGAAGAUAAAGGAAUGUUCAUGGUCAAGCCUAGCUCUCUUUUUCUCUGUGUAAUGAAAUAUAUGAUCAUAUGUUUAUUUCUCCAACUAAAAUGUAAAAGCGCAUAUACUGGCUCAUUUCUAGGGAUUUCCCAAGUCUUUACAAUGGCAAUGCCCCAAGCGGCAAGAGCACUGCUAACACCAACAGCUGACAGUAUUUAGAGGAAUUGGGAGAACGUUUCUAGGUUUGGAACACUUUUAAGACUUUAAUGAACACUUUGUUGUUGUUGAGGAAGGUCAGUUAAGAAAAACAUUCCAAUUUUGAUUGCACAUAGUCAAGAGGCCCAAAACACAUCUUAAUUUGGUGUCACAAUAAACAGGACUUUUAAAAUCAAGGGCUGGCAAUUGAAGCCAUGAGUACAAUUUGAGUGGCUUUAUGAAAUGAUGCUACUGUAAGCUUUCUUAGC
rnacentral:lncRNA from 1 species